GGCCUAGUGGCGCAGUGGUAACGCGUCGCACUUGUAAUGCGAAGAUCCCGUGUUCAAUUCACGGCUAGGCCC
rnacentral:tRNA from 1 species